AAAUUUGCUAUAAAAUCGAGAUGCUAGAAAGGAAAAGAAAUCAUAUAUAUAAAAGUUGACCAAUUUUUUCCUUAUGAAUGACACAUCAUCACACCAGUGAAUGCUACAUAUCAUUCUAAAUUAAUAU
rnacentral:sRNA from 1 species